rnacentral:rRNA from 1 species
GGCUCAGGAUGAACGCUGGCGGCGUGCUUAACACAUGCAAGUCGAACGAAGCACUAUUGACAGAUUCUUCGGAUGAUGGAUUUAGUGACUGAGUGGCGGACGGGUGAGUAACGCGUGGGUAACCUGCCUCAUACAGGGGGAUAACAGUUAGAAAUGACUGCUAAUACCGCAUAAGCGCACGGUAUCGCAUGAUACAGUGUGAAAAACUCCGGUGGUAUGAGAUGGACCCGCGUCUGAUUAGCUAGUUGGCGGGGUAACGGCCCACCAAGGCGACGAUCAGUAGCCGACCUGAGAGGGUGACCGGCCACAUUGGGACUGAGACACGGCCCAAACUCCUACGGGAGGCAGCAGUGGGGGAUAUUGCACAAUGGAGGAAACUCUGAUGCAGCAACGCCGCGUGAGGGAAGACGGUCUUCGGAUUGUAAACCUAAGUUAUCAGGGACGAUUAUGACGGUACCUGAAGAGAAAGCUCCGGCUAACUACGUG